CCUAAUCCGUUUAACCUAUUUGAUCUAAUUUGAUCUGUUUAAUAAUCAAAUUAGACGAUCGAAUCGAAUUAUCUAUUUAAUAAAUAGAUCAGAUUCGUUCUAAAUUUUUGAUCUAUUUAAUAAAUAGAUCAGAUUUAGAUUAACAGAUUUCUGACUCAAUCUGCAUUGAUCUAAUCCGUGUCUGAUUUGCUCCAAUCCAACUGCCA
rnacentral:lncRNA from 1 species